UAGACAGUGGUGUAUUCAUCAGGGCA
rnacentral:piRNA from 1 species